rnacentral:rRNA from 1 species
CCUACGGGGGGCUGCAGUGGGGAAUAUUGGACAAUGGGCGAAAGCCUGAUCCAGCCAUGCCGCGUGUGUGAAGAAGGCCUUCGGGUUGUAAAGCACUUUCAGUGGGGAAGAAAGCCUUGGGGCUAAUACCCUCGAGGAAGGACAUCACCCACAGAAGAAGCACCGGCUAACUCCGUGCCAGCAGCCGCGGUAAUACGGAGGGUGCGAGCGUUAAUCGGAAUUACUGGGCGUAAAGCGCGCGUAGGCGGUCUGAUAAGCCGGUUGGGAAAGCCCCGGGCUCAACCUGGGAACGGCAUCCGGAACUGUCAGGCUAGAGUGCAGGAGAGGAAGGUAGAAUUCCCGGUGUAGCAGUGAAAUGCGUAGAGAUCGGGAGGAAUACCAGUGGCGAAGGCGGCCUUCUGGACUGACACUGACGCUGAGGUGCGAAAGCGUGGGUAGCAAACAGGAUUAGAUACCCUGGUAGUC